rnacentral:rRNA from 1 species
CCUAACGGGAAGCAGCAGUGAGGAAUAUUGGUCAAUGGGCGGGAGCCUGAACCAGCCAAGCCGCGUGAGGGAAGAAGGUACAGCGUAUCGUAAACCUCUAUUGUCAGGGAACAAAGGCGGGGACUAGUCCCCGGAUGAGGGUACCUGAAGCAAAAGCAUCGGCUAACUCCGUGCUAGCAGCCGCGGUAAUUCGGAGGAUGCGAGUGUUGUCCGGAUUUAGUGGGUUAAAAGGGUGCGCAGGCGGCCUGUUAAGUCAGCGGUAAAAGCCCGGGGCUCAACCCCGGCGAGCCGUUGAAACUGGCGGGCUGGAGUUGGAGAGAAGUACGCGGAAUGCGCGGUGUAGCGGUGAAAUGCUUAGAUAUCGCGCAGAACCCCGAUUGCGAAGGCAGCGUACCGGCUCCACACUGACGCUGAGGCACGAAAGCGUGGGUAUCGAACAGGAUUAGAUACCCGAGUAGUC